CCAGGCGACUGGCUGCUGACCAGAUGUCAUUGGCCCACGGCGCUUUUGCUAUGGUGGUGGAAGAAACUAGGUUCAGGACCUGGGAAGACGUCUCUUGUAAGUCGCCGGCAGUUUUUGUUUUUGUCUUUGUGUUGACUUUUCCAACAGGACCGACUGGAAAUAAUGGGUACCUGGCAGCCCUCUGGGCUCCGUUUGUUUGGAAGUCGCCGCGACGCCCUAGCCAAAUUUUGAAAAACUUCUUAUUAAAUACCUGGUUACUUACUUACAUGAUACAGGCCUAACUUCAGGAGCCCACCAGCAUCACCGCCUUAUUAAAAGACUGGUUCAAUGAGAUGAAACGACCUAUGCCCCAUUUCAGCAGGAAGUAGCUAGAUCGGUCACCAUCCCAAAUCCCUCAAGAUUGAGGAACGGACAUAAAAUAGGGGGGAGUUGAUAUCGACCCUGAUAUCAGUUUCCCCACAUUAAACCCAGCAUAUAUGGGGUUAAAACCCAAACACUCAUUCCCUGCUUACUCUCUGGCUUCCUGGCUCCAGAAUCCACUAUCCUCCAUGGAGACAGACACUGUCAAGGACCAGCACCUGGACUAUCUCCUCCCCACAAAGAGAUACAGACUGGUGGGAAAGCUUCUGACCAGCAAGGCCAUAUGCUCCCCCCC
rnacentral:lncRNA from 1 species